GAUGAAGAACGUAGUGAAAUGCGAUAAGUAAUGUGAAUUGCAGAAUUCAGUGAAUCAUCGAAUCUUUGAACGCACAUUGCGCCCGCCAGUAUUCUGGCGGGCAUGCCUGUUCGAGCGUCAUUUCAACCCUCAGGUCCCCCUUUUCGGAGGGGGAGACACCCUGGUGUUGGGGGACGGCAUCCUGGCCCGCUGUCUCACAGUGUGCCACGCCGCCCCCGAAAUGAAUUGGCGGCCUCGUCGCGUGCCACCCCUGCGUAGUAGCACAACCUCGCAACGGGAGCCCGACGCGGCCACUGCCGUAAAACGCCCAACUUUUACCGAGUUGACCUCGAAUCAGGUAGGAAUACCCGCUGAACUUAAGCAUAUCAUAAGCGGAGGA
rnacentral:misc_RNA from 1 species